UUUCCUCCAUAACCUCCUUGGAGACCUCAGCAGCAUUAAGCCAGCAGAAGUGAGGGUUUGAGAAUGGCCAAAAAUGUUGUUUUCACUUGGUGUCUGACCUGAAAUCCUCUGUCAGGGAAAUGCUCUGUUUCCUUCCUGUAGCAACCAUGAGAUGAAAUCCACAGCAGCAGCAUGACAGAAGAUAUAUUAAACCAGUCAGUGAAGCCAUGAAGAGAGAAACUCUGUCUUUCAGCAGUAACAGCAGAAAUUCAAAUCUGAAAAGAUAGCCACUACAUGGUAAUUGUGAAAAUCCCAGACACUGAAAACCUGUGACCUCCUGGGGAAGACUCAAACAAGAAACUUUUUAGGACUGUCUUCAAAUUUGCUCAUUCCAUCAAAAAAAAGGCUCCUGAGAGUGGGACAACAAUAAUCAGCCCCUGUGACUUCUUCAGUGGCUGCUUUAGCAAUUAAAGUCUGCCAUAAAAACAGGGGAUGGACAGCAUGUGCCCUUUAUUAAACCAAGGACCUGAAGAGUGAAGUACUCAGUGUAACACUUCUUUUUU